UACGUAGGGGGCAAGCGUUGUCCGGAAUCAUUGGGCGUAAAGCGCGUGUAGGCGGUUACGUAAGUCUGCUGUGAAAGUCGGAGGCUCAACCUUCGAAAGCCGGUGGAUACUGCGUGACUAGAGUACGGAAGAGGAGAGUGGAAUUCCUGGUGUAGCGGUGAAAUGCGCAGAUAUCAGGAGGAACACCGGUGGCGAAGGCGGAUCUCUGGGCCUUACCUGACGCUGAGGCGCGAAAGCUAGGGGAGCAAACAGG
rnacentral:rRNA from 1 species